rnacentral:lncRNA from 10 species
GUUUCACCAUGUUGGCCAGGCUGGUCUCGAACUCCUGAACUCAGGUGAUCCACCUGCCUUGACUUCCCAAAGUGCUGGGAUUACGGGCAUGAGCCACCACGCCCAGCCUUUAUAUAUAAACUUUCAUGUAUGAAAUCAUAAUGUGGUUUCUUUGACGAGUUUUAUAACAUCACUCAUUCUGCAUGAUUUUAAAAAAUCAGCUUUACUGGGUUAUGAUUUACAUUAAAUGUACCCAUUUACCUGUACAGUUUGAUACACUUAGAUAAAUGUACACACCUGCAUUCUGUAUGAUUUGGGGGAGACAGGUGACCUGAGUUCAAUCCUAAACUGAUAAUUUACUAAUCAUGUGACCUUGGGCAAAUUACCUUAACUUCUGAAAGCCCUGGUAAAAAUCCCACUUGAUAAUAAAAUCGAGUCCAGGAUAAUAAAAUAAAAAUCAAGUGGGAGUACUUUUCACUCUGUAACCAACUACUGCUGAAUUAUUCUUUUCCUUUUUUUGGACAGUCUCACCCUGUCACCCAGGCUGGAGUGCAGUGUUGUGAUCUCUCCUGGGCUCAAGCGAUCCUCCCGUCUCAGCCUCCCAAGUAGCUGGGAUUACAGGCGUGCACCACCAUGCCCAGCCUGAGAUAGCUUCUGUAAUUAUUCUAGCACAAUGCUAAGCACUUGCAGCAGCGGUAUGCCGGGACCUUCUUGUACAGGCUUGAGAGCGCCAAAUACGCACAUCUCUUUACAACUUCAAGUUAAGUAACAUCAUCUUACCUUGGUAGCUCAAAAUGGACCAUGGCACCAGGCAUGAUGGCUCAUGCCUGUAAUCUCAACACUUUGGGAGGCUGAAGUGGGAGGAUCACUUGAAACAACCUGGGCAUAGUGAGACAUGGUCUCUUAAGUAAAUAAAUAGGGCUGUGGUGAGAGAACAUGUACCCUGAAAAUUGUCAAACACUACAAAUCAAAGUUUUGUUUUUGGACAACUUACCAGCACUCACAGUGGCUAAUUAUUAUUAUUUAUUUAUUUUGAGACGGAGUUUCGCUCUUGUCACCCAGGAUGGAGGGCAGUGGCAUGAUCUCAGCUCACUGCAACCUCCGCCUCCCGGGCUUCAGUGAGUCUCUGAGUAGCUGGGUUUACAGGCGCCCGCCACCACGCCUGGCUAAUUUUUUGUAUUUUUGGUAGACACGUGGUUUCAUCAUGUUGGCCAGGCUGGUCUUGAACUCCUGACCUCAGUGAUCCACCCGCCUUGGCCUCCCAAAGUGCAGGAAUUACAGGUGUGAGCCACCAUGCCCAGCUGGCUAAUUGUUAAUAUUAAUACUAUUCUGUUGAAUAGAAGUACCAUAAUUUAUUUAUCCAGCCCCUAUAUUGGAAAAUUGAAUUGUCUCUAAUUUUUUUAAAUUAUAAAUAGUAUCUUUUUUUUGAAACAGUCUCAUUCUAUUGCCUAGGCUGGAGUGUAGUGGCACAAUCUCAGCUCACUGCAACUUCCAUCUCCUGGGUUCAAGAGAUUCUCCUGCCUCAGCCUCUCAAGUAGCUGG